UGAAUUGGGUCUGUUAGUAUCACAAAUGACUAUACUCUAGCUAUCUGAAAUCAAUUAUUAAACUAAAAAAUACUAAGGCUUACUACUUCCAUCUUAAUUCAAUACUUAAUCCAUUCUAUGAAUAUCAAUUCAACAAUACUUCUAUAUUUUUAUCAGUUCAUCUCCCACUUACUCUCUUUGCGGCUUAUAUAUAUUCAAUUACUAAUCUCUUACUUAUUAUAUUCAAUUUCUCAAUUCAUCACACAAAAUUCAAUAUCUUCACUUAACACAACACAAUUCGAUAAUCUCAAUUUUCAAGGUCACAGAUUUUUUCCAAAACGGUCAGUCCAAAGUCAUAUUCUAUAAUAUUCUAAUCACAGUUUCAACAAUAUUUCUCUCAAUUACAAUUCUUCAUAAAAAAAUAAUAAAAGCAAAGAAAACAAAGAGGUAGUAUCAAGCUUAUUUUGGCUUACGACUUUCAUAGUCUCAUCCCAAUCUUCUUUUUUUCAACCUCUUUAUCCUACUUAAAGAUGGGCCGUCGACUAAUAGAUUCCAAAGGUUAUGAACCUUUAAAUUCUUAACCAUUUAUUCUACUAACAACCUACUGUUAUCAACUAAACUGCCUAA
rnacentral:lncRNA from 1 species